AGUUGGAAACGACUGCUAAUACCGCAUAAGCCCACGGCUCGGCAUCGAGCAGAGGGAAAAGGAGCAAUCCGCUUUGAGAUGGCCUCGCGUCCGAUUAGCUAGUUGGUGAGGUAAUGGCCCACCAAGGCGACGAUCGGUAGCCGGACUGAGAGGUUGAACGGCCACAUUGGGACUGAGACACGGCCCAGACUCCUACGGGAGGCAGCAGUGGGGAAUAUUGCACAAUGGGGGAAACCCUGAUGCAGCGACGCCGCGUGGAGGAAGAAGGUCUUCGGAUUGUAAACUCCUGUUGUUGAGGAAGAUAAUGACGGUACUCCACAAGGAAGUGACGGCUAACUACGUGCCAGCAGCCGCGG
rnacentral:rRNA from 1 species